AAAGGUUGAAGACACCUGCUGUAUUGGAUCGACAUACAACUGAGUCCCGUCUGUUCUGACACUGGUACCCGUCUCCAGUCCCUCAUCUCCUCAGUCCUGCUUCCCUGCCCUGGAUCCCUGCUCUACUGCUUCAUUGGAUUCCGCUCCAGACCUGCUUACCCAGUUCCUAAUCUCCUUGCCCCCAGCCUCAGUCUGGAUUCCCUACUACCCAGCUGAGGUUCCCCUGGACUGCACCCCAUCUCCUUUCCCACUUUUCA
ensembl:lncRNA